AGGGUUGUUAAAUGAUCGAGGAAGUGUUUGAAUUAAUAAUAUUUCUAUGGAAGUGUUAGGAUUGUGUAUGAGUGUUGUAAUUAAUUUACUCAUAUUGUGAUUAAUACAUCAAUAAAAACAGAAGUAAUGUUAUAAUUUAAGGUACAGAAGAUGUUUGAAUACUGUAUUAGAGAGAUAAAAACCUAAAGAAACAGAAGUAAAUAAAAGGAAUUAAAGGAAACCCCAAGUUGUUAUUACGAGAGGUUUUGAUCUGAUAACAGUUGGAGGGUGUAAUGUUGUACAGAGGUAGAUGAAAAGUUGGAUAAUUGAAUUACAAACAUAGCUGAUGGAUUGAUACUUGCAACAAACAAAAGACCCAAACACACAUGAAAUAAAGGGAAAGGAGUAACAUUUAUGAAAGGACAAAAUACUUAGAAAGUUGGCAUUUACUGUGUAUUACAGAAGGGAAUAUCAUCCAUAAAGGAACACAAGACUGGAAUAAUCGUCCUAGGAUAGAUAGCUACCAAGAAAUCAUACUAUUUGAGUGAGCACUAAUUUUUGAUCCACAAUGCCAAGCAAGCAGACGUUCUGCUGGUGUUUUGGCGGGAGACCUCCAGAUAUCAAGUAUGGUAUAGAUGGUGACACACAGCUGAAGUCCAUGGCGCUAGAUAUCCCCAUGCCAACAGACGAGAAUGAGCUCAAUGCCAUGUUUGAGGAACUAGUGGCUGAACUGGACCUUGAUAAGCCACACAGGGACGCUUUGUUUAAUCUACAACCAGAGAAAAAAUGGCAGAUAUACUGUAGCAAAAAACAGGUUUACUUUGUCAAAAUACUCGUAUUUUUCAAAGUACU